GCUUAGUCUGUGAAAGCAAUUUCCAAGAACUUUGCUGGCUUGAGCAGUUCUUAGAAAGGACUGGUGCAGCCCCAUCACCAACAGCUUCAAGGCAUAGGCUAGUACCCUUCAGCCUGAUUGGAGCCCCAUUACCAGCAUAAAGCCAUCGUUUCGGUUUCUUGCAGUUGCCUGCAUAUAUAUCGUGUCUACCAUCUGGAUCGACACAGCUGCCACUUUGUGGAUGAAAAAUUAUGUAGGAUGUAGAGGAU
rnacentral:misc_RNA from 1 species